GCUUUGCCCUUCAUUUCACCUCCUUUCUCUUUCCAUCCCUCUUUCUUUCUCUCUUUCUAUCUCUCUCUCUCUUUCUCUGUAUGUGUGUGUGUUUCGAAUUGAGUAUAUAUGUGUGUGUAUACUUAUAUGUAUGUGUUUGUGCAUGUGUCUGUGUGUAUAUCUGCCUUCCCACCCUCGCCAUUUUAACUCCUGUUUCUCCAUUCCCUCCUUCCCCUCUCAUUCACCUCUUUAUCUCUUUCUCUUUCCCCCUCCCUCCCUCUCACUCUGUCUAUUACUCAUUCGUUCAUUCCAUUCCUAUUCGGCUUGAUAUGAAGAGUUCUGGCAGCUAAUGCUCUCAUCACAGACAUCCAGAAACUGCUACUCUAGAUUUCCAGAGACCAGCCCACGUGAGCUUGAAAUAUGUGAAGGAUGGCAAAACUGGAAGAUUUCUCGAAAAUUCAAAGAAUUGUUACCUGGUUAAAAUCUGAGGCGGCUGCGGAGUGAACCAGUUCUUUUGAUUUGAAAAAUGUAUCACAAUCGCAACCACAUGAUAUUUUAAACAUGGCGUUUGUUCUUUGCUCUACAUGAUCAUGAGUCAAAAGGAGAGAUUUGGUGUUACCCUCAACAGCAUCGUCAAUAGAAAUCGCAGCAUCCCCAUCGUUUCUAUUCCAUCCAUCCUCAAGAAUUCCUGCAGACCGUCUGACCAAUGUCCAGCUUGCUGUCUAGAUACGAUGUCUGACCUAUCCUGGUUGAAGAUUUACAGAAAUUAAUCUUAAGUGAUUCUUGGAUUAUCUUUAGUUUUAUUAUAAUUAUUAGAUGAAUUACGGUGACGAAAUGGCAGAAUCGUUAGCGAGUCGAACGAAAUGCUCAACAGCAUUUCGUCCGUCUUGAAGUUCGGAGUUCAAAUCCUGUUGACGUCAACUUUGUCUUUCAUCUUUUCGGGGUUGAUAAAAUUAUAGUACCUGUAAAGUACUAGGGUUGAUGUAAUCGGCAUGGCCCCUCCCCUUAAACUAACUGGCCUUGUGCCAAGUUUAGAAGCAUAAUUAAAUGAAAUGGCAAAAUCGUUAUAGCAUCGGAUUAAUGUACUUAAAGUAUCCAGUUAUGGUUAUUCACGUUGUGGUUUCGAAUCCAGCACUAGUCGAUUCAGCCUUUCGCCUUUCCUCUCUGCAAAAUAAUAAUAAUAAUAAUAAUAAUAAUAAUGACAGCAACAGCAACAACAAUAAUAAUCUGGCACUGCUCCUAUGAAAUUUUUACAGGUAAUAUCUUUGCCGAAUCGGUAGAGCACCAAACAAAAUCUCCUUUGGGGUUUUUAGAUACAACCGUGUACGUUCUGAGUUCAAUUCUUGCCGUUGUUAGUUUUUCCUUUCCUUCUGCGGUCGAUUAUAUAAAAAGUGGAGGCGCAAUGGCCCAGUGGUUAGGGCAGCGGACUCGCGGUAAGAGGAUCGCGGUUUCGAUUCCCAGGCCGGGUGUUGUGCAUGUUUAUUGAGCGAAAACACCUUAAACCUCCACGAGGCUCCGGCAGGGGAUGGUGGCGAACCCUGCUGUACUCUUUCACCACAACUUUCUCUCACUCUUUCUUCCUGUUUCUGUUGUGCCUGUAAUUCAAAGGGUCAGCCUUGUCACACUCUGUGUCACGCUGAAUCUCCUCCUGAAACUACGUUAAGGGUACACGUGUCUGUGGAGAGCUCAGCCACUUGCACGUUAAUUUCACGAGCAGGCUGUUCCGUUGAUCGGAUCACUGGAACCCUCGUCGUCGUAACCGACGGAGUGCCACGUUAUAUAAAGUAUUUGACAAGUACGAGGAAAUAUAAUCGUCAGGAAUUAUUAUGUUAUGAAGGCGGUGGAUUGAAAUAUAAGAAAUAUUGUCUUGUAAUGGAUAUUCCAGUCUUUUUAAGCCGUCUGGCCAAAUUCCACCAAGGUCUACUUUGCCUCUCAUCUCUCCUCGGUAAAUAAACUAUGAACGCGGUCUUGUAAAUGCAUAGGAAAUUGCGCAUUGAAAUUGUGGAUUAUACUCUCUUGCUCCACCGAUCAGGUGUGUGUGUGUGUGUAUGAGGGAGAGAGAGAGAUCAGUUCUAAACUGCUUCAGGACAACACACGACUCACUGAAGAUAAUGAAUGCUGAACUGUUGGGACAGGGUUCAUGGGGCAAAUUCGUCUCAGUCUGCAGUGUAGGGACUUAUCUGUGUCCCCUUUUACUUUGCGUGGUGGUGUUGGUGGAGUGUCAAUAUAUGGAACGGAAGGAAACUGAUGAUGGUGUGCAGAGGUAAUAAGUGGUUCAAAGGUGAGUUUAUAGAAGAGUUUCAGUGUAAUUUUCAUGAUCGAAGAAUAUUAGCCUUGGUCUGGCAACGAGGAAGAUAGAGGAGAGAGAGGGGGAAGAGAGAAUGAAAGAGAGAUGGCGAAAGAGAGAAAGAGAAAAAAAAAGCGGUGCUAUCGUUUUGGUUUGUACUUUUUGUUCAUCGCCAUCUCAACUAAGACUAUUUGCACGCCACAAAUUAUUGAUUCGACUCCCAGCAU